GGCGGCUUAGUGGUAGAGUACUUGCCUUGCAUGCAUGAGGCCCUGGGUUCAAUUCCUCAGCACCA
rnacentral:tRNA from 1 species